rnacentral:misc_RNA from 1 species
AAGACUAUAGACCUGCGGAGUACCUGCAGAGGGAUCAUUAUCGUAUUGUAACAAUUGGGGGGGCCACCGUGGGCUGUCGCUGACCCUUUGAAAGGGGGGUCGUGCACGCCCCCAUAGUGUCAUCCUCAUACAAUCCAACUCACCUCUGUGCAUCACCGCGUGGGUUCCUUUCUGGGUCGAGUCAGACUGGCUCAGAAAAAAGGGGCUUGCGUUUUCCAUACAAAUACCCUUAUAAAUCCA